CAUUCAGCAAUUUUCUUUGGGUCA
rnacentral:piRNA from 1 species